rnacentral:misc_RNA from 1 species
ACAAACUUGGUCAUUUAGAGGAAGUAAAAGUCGUAACAAGGUCUCCGUAGGUGAACCUGCGGAGGGAUCAUUACAGAGUGUAAAAACUCCUAAAACCCUUUUGUGAACCUACCUAUAGUUUGUUCCUUCGGUAGGCGGUCCCUGGGAGGGAUCUGUAGCCCUAUGUGGUGCCUGCCGAAGAACGACCCAAACUUUGUUACUAUGGUAUUAUUCUGAGUAAUUACAAAAUAAGAUAAAAACUUUCAACAACGGAUCUCUUGGUUCUGGCAUCGAUGAAGAACGCAGC